GACAUCAAGGCCCUCGGGUACACUAGGGGAGCCAGUUCACAGAUGGAGAAAACGAAGUCCAGAACGGCAGAGUCUGAACUCUGUGGAGGAGCUGGCAGGUGGACCCAUGUGAUAAAUUCUAUCCAGUGAAAUGUGAGGGGAACUGAUGUGUACGUCAUUCUCGGCUGAGCUGGUUGAGCAUGGGUUUCUCCUCCAUCACCUCCCCUCUUCUGGCGGCUGGCUGGAUGCUGAUCCUCAGGGAAACCCUGGAAGACCUGUUGCAGAUGAGUGAGCCCCCAUCUGCCAGAUUCCUGAGUGACUGACUGCAUGAAGCAGCUCCUCCUCCUCGUUGACCAU